UGCCUACCUAUGUUAAAAUGAGCAUAGAGCAUGACACUAAGGAAUUAUUUCGAUUCUAAUAGGACAAAUACAGUAUUUUUAUAGGUCGAAGCGUACGAAAAUAAUGUAAAAAUGUUUGGCUUUUCCCGUUUCCUCCCCGAGGAGUCUGUGCAUUACAUUUCAUAUUUGAUAAGUUUAAAAACUACGAGCAGGGUAAAUAUAUGUUGUUUUAUAAAAAUAUAUAAUAAAAGUUUAUGCUAGCUGCUUAAAUGUAUAUAUUUUAAAGGAUAACGAUGGAAAUAAGGUUUAUAUACACAGUAAGUUUGUGCGCAUGUGUCAAACAUAUUUU
rnacentral:lncRNA from 1 species